rnacentral:tRNA from 1 species
GCGACUCGUUAGCUCAGUUGGUAGAGCAUUUGACUUUUAAUCAAAGGGUCACUGGUUCGAACGUAGUUCAGUGGUA